CCCGCGUAAUACGUAGGUGGCAAGCGUUGUCCGGAAUUAUUGGGCGUAAAGCGCUCGCAGGCGGUUCUUUAAGUCUGAUGUGAAAUCUUACGGCUCAACCGUAAACGUGCAUUGGAAACUGGGGAACUUGAGUGCAGAAGAGGAGAGUGGAAUUCCACGUGUAGCGGUGAAAUGCGUAGAGAUGUGGAGGAACACCAGUGGCGAAGGCGACUCUCUGGUCUGUAACUGACGCUGAGGAGCGAAAGCGUGGGGAGCGAACAGGAUUAGAUACCCUGGUAGUCCACGCCGUAAACGAUGAGUGCUAGGUGUUAGGGGGUUUCCGCCCCUUAGUGCUGAAGUUAACGCAUUAAGCACUCCGCCUGGGGAGUACGGCCGCAAGGCUGAAACUCAAAAGAAUUGACGGGGGCCCGCACAAGCGGUGGAGCAUGUGGUUUAAUUCGAAGCAACGCGAAGAACCUUACCAGGUCUUGACAUCCUCUGAACACUCUAGAGAUAGAGUUUUCCCUUCGGGGACAGAGUGACAGGUGGUGCAUGGUUGUCGUCAGCUCGUGUCGUGAGAUGUUGGGUUAAGUCCCGCAACGAGCGCAACCCUUGAUCUUAGUUGCCAGCAUUCAGUUGGGCACUCUAAGGUGACUGCCGGUGACAAACCGGAGGAAGGUGGGGACGACGUCAAAUCAUCAUGCCCCUUAUGACCUGGGCUACACACGUGCUACAAUGGAUGGAACAAAGGGAAGCGAACCCGCGAGGUCAAGCAAAUCCCACAAAACCAUUCUCAGUUCGGAUUGUAGGG
rnacentral:rRNA from 1 species